UCCUCAUUAGUAUAGUGGUGAGUAUCCCUGCCUGUUAUGCGGGAGGCCGGCAUUCGAUUCCCCGAUGGGGAG
rnacentral:tRNA from 1 species